rnacentral:lncRNA from 9 species
UGCCUAAGAGGAUUUUGUGUCUUCAUACAAUCUCAUUCUAUUAUAAUGUAACUAUGGUUAGCUGCAAGAUAUCUAUCUAGUAGCCAGCAUGACGGGAAGUAAUUAGCAUAAAAUCUGUAUUGCUCCUGGUGUACCAGGAGAGCCAACAACAGUGCCUUGAGAUAAAUGUUGAUUUUGAAAUGUUGGGCUUCAUUUGUCAAAGGGAGAGAGCCUUUAUCUUCUUAACUGUUUUUCACUAGGCUUUUCUAUAAUAAUACAUAUAUUUUACAUGUAUGAUUUAAUCAUAUUUAUAUACACAUAUUUUAUUAUAUAUUAAAUGUAUACAUGUCUAUAUAUGUAUACUUUAUAUUUGCUAUAAUUUAUCUAUACAUAUUCUAUACUAUCUGUCUAUAGCUAUAAAUAAAGACUACUAAGAGCAGUCCUUAGUCUGUGUGAAGGUAUGUCCUUAUUUUUUACCCUUUGGUUAAGUUUAAGAUUAUGGAUUACAGAUGACUUCUCUUUAUGAUUUGCCAUCAGUCGUAUUUGUAGGUAAACACUACAGCCAUGGCUUUAGUCUUGUUGGUUCAAUUCUAUAUGAAUUAACACUCAAAUACUUACUGAUGUUAAAAUGAUUUUUGGUAUAAUAGUCAGGAUAUAAUAAUGUAUGUGACUAGGUCCUUGUUCUUAAGAAUCUUGCAAUCUUGUUUAAAAGAGAAGGUAAAAGUGGUGGUAAGCUAACAACAAAAGGAAGAGUCUGUCAACUGAUUCAGAAAUUCUUGUUAAAUAUCUGUUUUUCACCAGACUACAAAAUAACAAUGCAAGAGUUGUGUCACAGGGCACCUCAGAAUAGGGAGAAGUGAGAGUGGCCUGGAAAGAAUUUAUAAAAGAAGAGUAAAUUGGUCUGAGUGGAAUAUAAAUAAGCAUGAACAUAUAACCUCAGUAAUAAUCAAAGCAGUGCGACUUACGACAACUGUGAGGUAGUCUUGCUGGUGAGUUGGGACAGAGAUAAAGCACUGAUAGAUUUCAUUUUGGCUGGUGGUAGAGGAGGGAAAUAGAGACCCGUGCAUGUAACUAGAGACAUUGUGAACUGGUUUUCCAACUUGGAGUGAAAUUUAAAUAAUUAUUCAAUUUUCUAUUCUAUUAUAAAUGUUCAUAAUAAUUGGCUUUGAAGUUCCUCUUCUAGGACGUCAUCCUCGGAAAUGCUGUCAUGAAUCUGCAAAGAUAUACACACACAAGAAGAAAUAUAUAACCUGAAUGGUUUCAAAUCUUUAAAAGAAAUUGUAUUUAUGGUUAAAAUCUUUCUGUACCAAAUCGACUGGUGAAUGGAUAAACAAAAGGAAGUGUAUCCAUACCAUUGAUUGUAUUCAGCAAUAAAAAAAGGAAUAAACUACUGAUACAUGAUACAACAGAGAUAAAACCUCAAAAAUAGUAUGUUGAAUGAAAGAAGCCAGGCACUAAAGGCCUUAUAUAUGCUUCUAUUUAUUAAAAAAAAAAUUCUAGAAAAUCAAAUCUACAGAAUUCAAAACUAGAUUGGUGUUUUCCUGGCUCUGUGAGUGGUGAUGGUGAGUGUCUGCCAGUGGAAACAAUGGGCCGUUUGGGGUGAUGCAACUGUUCCAUAAUUGGAUUGUGGUGAUGGUUGCAUAAAUCUGUAAAUUUACUAAAAGUCAUUGCAUUUUUCACAUAAAAUGAGUACCUUUAAUGGUAUGUAAAUUAUAUCUCAAUACAGCUAGUAAAAAGAUAGCCGAAAUGCAAAACAAAACAAUACCCUCACAUCUUUCAACCAAGUAAACCUCAAUCCCAGGUGACCCCAGUAAUAAAAUCAUCUGAACAUUUUAGGAUGAAGUACGGCCAUUUCUACGCAGUCUUUUCCAGGAAAGUGUGAAAGUAGAAACUUCCACACUUUCCCAACCUAUGGUACGAGACCAGCAUUACACUGAUACCAAUAUCAUGAAAAGACAUUAUCAAAUAAGAAAAGUAUAGACCAAUACACUUCAUGAACAUUAAUAUAAACAAUAUUAGUGAAACUUUAGCAAAUACAAAUCAGUUUAUGACCAUGCUGGGUUCAUCCUAGAAAGGCAAUGCUGGUCUAACAUUAGAAAAUUAGUCAAUAUGGUAUACCCUAUAUUAAUGGUGAUAAAAAAGAAACAAACAAAAUUAUGAUCAUCUCAGUGUAUAUCACACAAAAUUUUUGACAAAAUCCAACACUUAAUCUUGAUAAAAUCUCCUGUUUUAUCAAAUAAUCUAGGAAUAUAAGGGAUCUUCAACUUGACAGAGAACACUGCAAUAUGUCUAUGGCUGAUAUGAUACUUAAUGGUGAAAGACCAAGUACUUUUCUACUUAUCUUGGAAACAAGGCAAGAAUGUCUGCUCUCAUUUCUACUCAGCAUUCUAACAGAAACUCUAGGCAGUGAAGUAAGGCAAGAGAAAGACUCCAAAAGGGAGACAGAUUGUUAAGGAAAAAGCAAAACUGUUUAAAAUGCAUAUUUAUUGGAAAAUUAAAGGAACAUCCAAAUAUCCCAUAGGAGUACAGUUAAAUAUGCUGGAAUACUCACACAAUGAGUAUUCACUUAGUAAGAAGGUAGAUGGGAGUGUUACAGUUCUUUAAAUAUCAUGGUAAGAUCUCUAAGAUACAUUGGUCAAGGAGAAAAUAUGGUUGUAGAACAAUACUUAGUCUGUGGUACAUUGAUUAAUUCCUUCAAGAGGUACUUUUUGUAUACCUCCUUUAUUUUAAGCACUGGAGUAGACCCUGGGUAAUAAUAUUGCCUGUAGGAAGGGGCCAGAUGUAAUCUUGCCUUUGAGAGCCUUGCAGGCUAAUAUGGGAAAAAAACUUAAAAGAGAAAGAAACUAAAUAUAUAAUGAGAAUUUGUGUUAUAUGUGUUUAAGGAUCCAAGUAGAAUGUCGCAAAUUUAACCAUGAUGGUUGGGAGAAAGAAAAAUUUCUCCAAGAGGUGUCUGAUGCCUAGUGAGCACUACUCAGUAAAGACAUUCUUUUUUAACAAUAGACGAGUCCAUACCAUUCUUCUUUCCUUCACCUUAUUUCCCUUCGUAUUCAGUAACUCAUCUAUCCAUUGUCCAAGGAAUGUGCUGUACUUUCAUUGUCACAGUAAUUUCCCCUGUAUCGCUACGUUCUUUUCCCUUUUAGAGUAAUUUCCUUGCCAUCAACAUUUGUUGAGCACCUGCUGUGAACAAAGGCAUCAUCCAAAGUGUUAGGAAGUCGCCUUUGCUUAAGGUACAUUCUUAUUUAUUUAUUUAAUCUAAUUGAAGCCCUUUUCUUCUUAGGUGAUUUAAAUUUUUUUCAUUUUUUUUCCUGAUUGCAAAAGUGAAACAUUCAUAUCAUAAAAACAUUGAAUGUUGCAGAAAUACUUAAUGGACAAUGUGAAAGAGCUUCCUGGGGCUCCAUUUCACCAAAAGUUGUGACUAAUUAGGAAACUGCCUUGCAUGUGAAUCUAUAGUUGCAGAACCAAGGAAACUGAGGAUCUGUGGAGAUGGAGGAAUUGCCUGUAAGGAGGGAAAACUGCAUAUUAUUUAGGAUUUUGGAGAGGAUGGACACUCACAGUGCCCUAGUGAUUGAAGGGUCAAUUGAACUUUGUACAGUAUUGUACAUCUGAUGAUCUUAAAAUCUUCAGCAGAGUCACACAAGUCUUAGGAACUUGAAUGUGAUUGUAUUCCUGGUAGAGGCUGAUGACAGAGCUUACUUUUGUGUCAGAGAUGGGACAGCAAUGCCAAUAAGCUACUUUAUGUGGAUAAGAGGGUACUAGCAGGUCUAUGCAUCACAAAUGCUUCUUCCCUGGGCUGUUUCGUGAGUGGCUUUAACAAUCUAGUACAUUUACUCAUGUCUCGGGAAUAUGCCUCCCAACAUAUCCCAUCCAAGUGGUUGUUUAAUGUAUCUUUAAGCAUUGGAGCAUGUAGCAGAUUAUCUUGUGUCUGUUAACAUGGCUUUAAUUGAUAUUUUUCAUAAAAGCUCAUUCUAUCUAACUAAAUUACAUUGAUGGUAUUGCGUCACCUUUUUAUUUUUCCUUUAAGAAAUUUUUCUGUCUAUCUUUCUUUCUUUCUAGUGGCCCUACCCAUGUCAUAUGGAGCUUCCUUGGCCAGGGUCUGAAUCUGAACUGCAGCUGCAACCUAUGCCACUGAACUGCAGCUGCAACCUAUGCCACUGCUGCAACCUAUGCCACUGCUGCAACCUAAGCAAUGCCAGAUCUUUUAACCCACUUCCCUAAGCCAGGUAUUGAACCUACUGGUCAGAGCCACUGUGCCACAGCAGGAACUCCUUAAACAACUUUUUUAAAGAACUUUUUCUUUGGAGGAGGGCACACUUGCAGCACAUGGCAGUUCCUGGACUAGAGACUGAAUCAGAUCUGCAGCUGCCGACCUAUGCUGCAACAACAGCAAUGAAGGAUCAGAGACUCAUCUGUGAUCUAUCUCAUAGCUCACAGCAAAGCCAGAUCUUUAACCCACUGAGAGAGGCAAGGGAUUGAACCCACAUCCUCAUGAAUACUAGUAAGGUUCAUAAACCACCUAAGCUACAAUGGGAACUCCCAGGAGCUUUUUAAUUGAGCUUACUGGAGAGCAUUCUAGAAUAUAUACGUAUAUGUUAGUGAUUUAUUUUUGUAGAUGCCAAAAUUAGGAAGGAAGCACUUGUGGUUGGUUUAAUAUUCAGGAGUAUCAUAGGGUACUCUCUACACUUUCAGUGAAAUAUAGUAUAUCCUUGGCAGAUAAACUAUAUAAAAUCACCAAAAAAGAAGUAUUCUGUCUGUCUUUCUACUUGAAAACAUGCAUGAACAAGAUUGAUGACAUCAAUGUGAAAUAUGAAAUGAAAUAAAUUCUGUGUGUAAUUUGUAGGUGCUUAUGUAGCCUAGAAAAAUAAUUAGGUCUGUUUGACUAUUGAGAAGAGGUAGAAUGACUGUCCUAUUGGGUACAGAGCCUCUGCUCCUGUUUUUGCAUCUAUAGGAGCACCUACUGUGGACUUUGUAGAGGGAUCCAAGAUACAAAGAUGAAAGCAUUACCAUCUGGCUCAGGAAAGAAGGUUCAAUGAUGAUGUUAGUGUAAAGUUCAAGGGAGGAUGUGCAGUUUGAUUCAAUAGAAAUUAGUGAUAUAAAAUGACAGCUUUAGACUAUGGAUGAUAAUCAGAUGUUUUGUCACUAGUAAGAAAACCUUGGAAAAUUUGUUUGCAUUUUUUUGGGGGGGUGUCAUCAUCCAUCAUUCCAUUUAGCUCUCCUUGUGGGAGAAGAAAGAAUAUCUAGAUAUCAAAUGUACUAAUCACUUUAUAAGAGUAAAGUGCUAAUGAACUUAAUAAUUCAUACUAAGUUUUGAGAGGUUGGAAGCAAUAUUUAAAAGUGAAAUAAUGUAGUGCUUAGUGACAAAACUAUUCCAUUUUUUACAUCGGUGUAUGUCUUUGCACACUGCAAACCUUUUAAUUGAACUAGACUUUUUCCAGAUUACCUGGACCAAUUGCUAGUGCUCCUUUAAAACUAGCCUGGUAUCUUAUUCUCAAUAAAUCAUUCCAGAAGCCCUGGACAAAAUGUAACCCCUCAAAAUAUUACAAACUUCUGUUAUUAUGUGUAUUUACAAAAUAUAUUAUUACUUCCAUUCACUGGCCAAUGUAUCUUUCCAAAUCAUGUGGUCCUUGAGGGUUAAAAUUAUAUUUAUCAUUGUUUUAAAACAAAUCUAAAAAAUAAGAAUAAUCUAGAAUCAGUCCUAGUAAAAUAUAAGAAUCAGUUCUUAUUAAUAUUUUGUAAUGAAUUGGAAGGUAACUCUUAGAAUAAUAAAAGUUUUAAUAUAUUCUGUUGUGAAGGAAAUAGCAUGGAAUGAUUCAAAGUUUAAAAUAUUUGGUUUCAAAUCCUGACUCUGCCAUUGACUGCUAAUUAUUGUAUCUUGAGCAAUCUCUUAGUCUCAUGAAAUGUUAGUCUCCUGAGGUAAAAUAGAUAUAAUAACAUUUCUGUCCUGCAUGUCUUACAUGGAGUUUAUGAUAAUAGAAUAGAUAAUGGGUGAAAAUAAAGUUGUAUACUCAGUACCUAUACAGCUAAAGUGAUUUUCUGUAUUAAAAGCUUAUUUAAAAUCCACUGAUAGGAGUUGCCGUUGUGGUGCAGCAGAAACGAAUCUAACUGGUAACCAUGAGGUUGCGGGUUUGUUCCCUGGCCUUGCUCGGUGGGUUAAGAAUCAGGCAUUGCUGUGAGCUGUAGUGUAGGUUGCAGAUGUUGCUCUAACCCUGCAUUGCUGUGGCUGUGGUAUAGGCCAGCAGCUGUAGCUCUGAUUCAACCCCUACCCUAGGAACCUCUGUAUGCCAUGGGUGUGACCCUAGAAAGCCAAAAAAAAAAAAAAAAAAAAA